UACGUAGGGUGCGAGCGUUAAUCGGAAUUACUGGGCGUAAAGGGCGCGUAGGCGCCUUCUAAGUCGAACGUGAAAUCCCCGGGCUCAACCCGGGAACUGCGUCCGAUACUGAUCGACUCGAAGGCAGGAGAGGGUAGUGGAAUUCCCGGUGUAGUGGUGAAAUGCGUAGAUAUCGGGAGGAACACCAGUGGCGAAGGCGACUACCUGGCCUGUUCUUGACGCUGAGGCGCGAAAGCGUGGGGAGCAAACAGG
rnacentral:rRNA from 1 species